ACCGCGAGAGAGCGCUACCGUCGAAACUCACAGCCAAUUAAAUUAAAUCUUGCCAAGUACCUUCGCUCUCUGAGCAUCUUCAGCGGUAUUUUGUCAAAAAAAAGAGGCUAUCCAGCACAUCCAGGAAUGUCGUAAAUAUUUACAUAAAUAUUAUACAAAAAACAGACACUAUACAAAGGAAAAACAGUUUAAAAUAAUUCUUCUGGAGCUAUAUUAUGGGCAACAUCAAGAGAUAGAAUGUCAUGCCAUGUACGUGUCCAAUUAAUUUUGCGGUCGAUUGGACAUAAUUAUGAUAAAUUAUUUAAAGUAUUUUAUAAAAAGCUAUUAAACAAAACAUCCAUCGAAGUGGCAGUUAUAGAGGUAAUGGAUUUUGACAAGAGCUAUGAGUCAUGCCGAAACAGUAUUCUACACAAGUUUACGUGUUAUUUACAAGGUCAUAGCUCUUGUCAAAAUCCAUGAGGUCUACCAAUGAAACUAAGUUCAUGUCAGUAAAUCAAACAGUGUUUAAUUGCCAUUACAUUUAUUUGUCAGGUUUUCCAUCUCUGCUAUAAACAAUAAGAAAUGUAAUGAUUAUAUACCUCCUCUUCCCUUUAUAAUCUGUUUAAGCUGAACAUUAUUAGUUACCUUUGAUGUAUAGUAUAUUUACAGUUGCAAACACAAAUAGGCUCAAUUAUUCCAAGUAAAUAUUAUAUUCUAGAACUGUUUUCAACUAGUAUUAGACAUGGGUAAUUUUAAUAGUGUAGAAAUUAUUUUUCAUUUUAUAAAAAAUAUAACAAAGUUGGAAUAUUCGUGUCUUUGCAAAACCUAUUUAAAAUACAGAUAUUUUUAUCUAAAAGAGAAACAUAACAGCUAAAAGAAGAUUAUCUAAAUGAAUUUUCUUCUUUUUUGUCCGCUGCAAUGUUAUGCAUAUUCACAACUUCUAGUUUCUAUAGUCUUCUAAAAAAUACCUUACGCUACAGAGAAAGACGAAGAAAUUUUGGGAAUUUUUGAAAGAUUUCCAAAGACAAAUACAGAUAUUAAAUGUUGACGAAUAAAGAUAAUACUAAACUACACUUUUAAAAGUUUUCCUGUACAAAUUCACAAUUUCGUUAGUAAUUCUAUUCUAUUCUAUUCUCCAACUUAAGUUCAUUCCUUAGUGUAAAAACAUAGUGAAGCAUCGCACCUCGCCAGGCACAUUGCUACGCACAUCGCAUCCUCAAAAA
rnacentral:lncRNA from 1 species